GAUGAACGCUGGCGGCGUGCCUAAUACAUGCAAGUCGAGCGAACAGAUGAGGAGCUUGCUCCUCUGACGUUAGAGGCGGACGGGUGAGUAACACGUGGAUAACCUACCUAUAAGACUGGGAUAACUUCGGGAAACCGGAGCUAAUACCGGAUAAUAUAUUGAACCGCAUGGUUCAAUAGUGAAAGACGGUUUUGCUGUCACUUAUAGAUGGAUCCGCGCCGCAUUAGCUAGUUGGUAAGGUAACGGCUUACCAAGGCAACGAUGCGUAGCCGACCUGAGAGGGUGAUCGGCCACACUGGAACUGAGACACGGUCCAGACUCCUACGGGAGGCAGCAGUAGGGAAUCUUCCGCAAUGGGCGAAUGCCUGACGGAGCAACGCCGCGUGAGUGAUGAAGGUCUUCGGAUCGUAAAACGCUGUUAUUAGGGAAGAACAAAUGUGUAAGUAACUAUGCACGUCUUGACGGUACCUAAUCAGAAAGCCACGGCUAACUACGUG
rnacentral:rRNA from 1 species